rnacentral:rRNA from 1 species
GACGAACGCUGGCGGCGUGCUUAACACAUGCAAGUCGAACGGAAAGGCCUGCUUUCCCUUGUGGAUUGCGGGUACUCGAGUGGCGAACGGGUGAGUAACACGUGAGUGAUCUGCCCCCAACUUGGGUAUAAGCCUGGGAAACUGGGUCUAAUUCCCGAUAGGACUGCAGGGUGGUGCCUGUGGUGGAAAACGAUUUUCUAGUGGUUGGGGAUGAGCUCGCGGCCUAUCAGCUUGUUGGUGGGGUAAUGGCCUACCAAGGCGGCGACGGGUAGCCGGCCUGAGAGGGUGGACGGCCACGUUGGGACUGAGAUACGGCCCAGACUCCUACGGGAGGAAGCAGUGGGGAAUAUUGCGCAAUGGGCGGAAGCCUGAUGCAGCGACGCCGAGUGGGGGAUGACGGCCUUCGGGUUGUAAACUCCUUUCGACCGCGAGGAAGCCACCUGGUUGGAAGGGUGGUGACGGUAGUGGUAGAAGAAGCACCGGCUAACUACGUG